GACGAACGCUGGCGGCGUGCUUAACACAUGCAAGUCGAGCGGUAAGGCCCUUUCGGGGGUACACGAGCGGCGAACGGGUGAGUAACACGUGGGUGACCUGCCUCUAGCUCUGGGAUAAGCCCGGGAAACUGGGUCUAAUACUGGAUAUGACUCCAUGACGCAUGUUGUGGGGUGGAAAGCCUUGUGCGGCUAGAGAUGGGCCCGCGGCCUAUCAGCUUGUUGGUGGGGGAUGGCCUACCAAGGCGACGACGGGUAGCCGGCCUGAGAGGGCGACCGGCCACACUGGGACUGAGACACGGCCCAGACUCCUACGGGAGGCAGCAGUGGGGAAUCUUGCGCAAUGGGCGAAAGCCUGACGCAGCGACGCCGCGUGA
rnacentral:rRNA from 1 species